UGCAUCCUCGAGAUGAAACCUACUUGAUCA
rnacentral:piRNA from 1 species